rnacentral:rRNA from 1 species
UACGGAGGGUGCAAGCGUUAUCCGGAUUCACUGGGUUUAAAGGGUGCGUAGGCGGGUAGGUAAGUCAGUGGUGAAAUCUUCGAGCUUAACUCGGAAACUGCCUUCGAUACUAUCUAUCUUGAAUAUUGUGGAGGUAAGCGGAAUAUGUCAUGUAGCGGUGAAAUGCUUAGAUAUGACAUAGAACACCUAUUGCGAAGGCAGCUUACUACGCAUAUAUUGACGCUGAGGCACGAAAGCGUGGGGAGUCAAACAGG